CCUACGGGUGGCAGCAGUGGGGAAUAUUGCGCAAUGGGCGAAAGCCUGACGCAGCGACGCCGCGUGAGGGAUGAAGGUCUUCGGAUCGUAAACCUCUUUCAGCAGGGAAAAACGGUCACUGUGGUAAUCAGCAGUGAAUUGACGGUACCUGCAAAGGAAGCACCGGCUAACGCCUUGCCAGCAGCCGCGGUAAUACGGAGGGUCCGAGCGUUAAUCGGAAUGACUGGGCGUAAAGGGCUCGUAGGUGGUAUGUCAAGUCAAGGGGGAAAUCCCCGCGCUCAACGUGGGAACUGCCUUUGAAACUGGCAAACUGGAGUGUGUGAGAGGAUAGUGGAAUUCCAGGUGUAGGAGUGAAAGCCGUAGAUAUCUGGAGGAACAUCAGUGGCGAAGGCGACUAACUGGCACAUAACUGACGCUGAGGAGCGAAAGCGUGGGUAGCAAACAGGAUUAGAUACCCGGGUAGUC
rnacentral:rRNA from 1 species